rnacentral:rRNA from 1 species
UAUCACAAGUGCGAAUGCUGACAUAAGUAACGAUAAAACGAGUGAAAAACUCGUUCGCCGGAAGACCAAGGGUUCCUGUCCAACGUUAAUCGGGGCAGGGUGAGUCGGCCCCUAAGGCGAGGCUGAAAAGCGUAGUCGAUGGGAAACGGGUUAAUAUUCCCGUACUUGGUAAAGCUGCGAUGUGGGGACGGAGAAGGUUAGGUUAGCAGACUGUUGGAUGUCUGUUUAAGUUGGUAGGUGGGAAGUUUAGGCAAAUCCGGACUUCCAUAACACUGAGAGAUGAUGACGAGUUUCUACGGAAAUGAAGUAACUGAUACCACGCUUCCAGGAAAAGCCACUAAGCGAAAGGCUUUACUAAACCGUACUGAAAACCGACACAGGUGGUCAGGUAGAGAAUACUCAGGCGCUUGAGAGAACUCGGGUGAAGGAACUAGGCAAAAUAGCACCGUAACUUCGGGAGAAGGUGCGCUGGCGUAGGUUGUARGAGUAUACCUCCGAAGGCUGAACCAGUCGAAGAUACCAGCUGGCUGCAACUGUUUAUUAAAAACACAGCACUCUGCAAACACGAAAGUGGACGUAUAGGGUGUGAUGCCUGCCCGGUGCUGGAAGGUUAAUUGAUGGUGUUAUCGAAAGAGAAGCUCCUGAUCGAAGCCCCAGUAAACGGCGGCCGUAACUAUAACGGUCCUAAGGUAGCGAAAUUCCUUGUCGGGUAAGUUCCGACCUGCACGAAUGGCAUAAUGAUGGCCAGGCUGUCUCCACCCGAGACUCAGUGAAAUUGAAAUCGCCGUGAAGAUGCGGUGUACCCGCGGCUAGACGGAGAGACCCCGUGAACCUUUACUAUAGCUUGACACUGAACAUUGAAUUUUGAUGUGUAGGAUAGGUGGGAGCCUAAGAAGCAGUCACGCCAGUGAUUGUGGAGGCGUCCUUGAAAUACCACCCUUUAACGUUUGAUGUUCUAACGAAGAUUGCGAAACGCGGUCUCGGACAGUGUCUGGUGGGUAGUUUGACUGGGGCGGUCUCCUCCCAAAGAGUAACGGAGGAGCACGAAGGUUUGCUAAUCACGGUCGGACAUCGUGAGGUUAGUGCAAUGGUAUAAGCAAGCUUAACUGCGAGACAGACAAGUCGAGCAGGUGCGAAAGCAGGUCAUAGUGAUCCGGUGGUUCUGAAUGGAAGGGCCAUCGCUCAACGGAUAAAAGGUACUCCGGGGAUAACAGGCUGAUACCGCCCAAGAGUUCAUAUCGACGGCGGUGUUUGGCACCUCGAUGUCGGCUCAUCACAUCCUGGGGCUGAAGUAGGUCCCAAGGGUAUGGCUGUUCGCCAUUUAAAGUGGUACGCGAGCUGGGUUUAGAACGUCGUGAGACAGUUCGGUCCCUAUCUGCCGUGGGCGUUGGAGAAUUGAGAGGGGCUGCUCCUAGUACGAGAGGACCGGAGUGGACGCAUCACUGGUGUACCAGUUGUCUCGCCAGAGGCAUUGCUGGGUAGCUAAAUGCGGAAGAGAUAAGUGCUGAAAGCAUCUAAGCACGAAACUCGCCUUAAGAUGAGUUCUCCCUAGCUAUAAGCUAGUAAGGGUUGUUGAAGACUACGACGUAGAUAGGUCUGGUGUGUAAGCGGUGUGAGCCGUUGAGCUAACAGAUACUAAUUGCCCGAGAGGCUUAACUAU